UGCGUAGGUGGUGAGGUAAGUCGGAUGUGAAAGCUCGGAGCUCAACUCCGAAAUGGCAUUGGAAACUACCUUGCUCGAGGGUUGGAGGGGGGACUGGAAUGCUUGGUGUAGCAGUGAAAUGCGUAGAUAUCAAGCGGAACACCAGUGGCGAAGGCGAGUCCCUGGACAACUCCUGACACUGAGGCACGAAAGCUAGGGAGCAAACA
rnacentral:rRNA from 1 species